rnacentral:rRNA from 1 species
AUUGAACGCUGGCGGCAGGCCUAACACCUGCAAGUCGAACGAGUGGCGGACUGGUGAGUAAUGUCUGGGAAACGGCCUGCUGGAUGGGGAUAACCACUGGAAACGGUAGCUAAUACCGAAUACCAUCGGAUGUGCCCACAUGGGAUUUGCUAGUCGGUGGGGAAAAGGCUCACCUAGGCGACGAUCCCUAGCUGGUAUGAGAGAAUGACAAGCCAAACUGGAAAUUAGACACGGUCCAGACGCCUACGAGAGGCAGCGGUGGGGAAUGUUGCAGAAUGGGCGCAAGCCUGAUGCAGCCAUGCCGCGUGUAUGGGGAAGGCCUUCGGGUUGUAAAGUACUUUCAGCGGGGAGGCGUUACCCGCAGAAGAGGCGCCGGCUAACUCCGUGCCAGCAGCCGCGGUAAUAC